rnacentral:rRNA from 1 species
AGAGUUUGAUCCUGGCUCAGGAUGAACGCUAGCGGCAGGCCUAACACAUGCAAGUCGAACGGUAACAUGAGAGCUUGCUCUUGAUGACGAGUGGCGCACGGGUGCGUAACGCGUAUACAAUCUACCUUUUACAGAGGGAUAGCCCAGAGAAAUUUGGAUUAAUAUCUCAUAGUAUUAUAUUAUGGCAUCAUUAUAUAAUUAAAGAUUUAUCGGUAAAAGAUGAGUAUGCGUUCUAUUAGUUAGUUGGAGUGGUAACGGCACCCCAAGACAGCGAUAGAUAGGGGCCCUGAGAGGGGGAUCCCCCACACUGGUACUGAGACACGGACCAGACUCCUACGGGAGGCAGCAGUGAGGAAUAUUGGACAAUGGAGGCAACUCUGAUCCAGCCAUGCCGCGUGCAGGAAGACUGCCCUAUGGGUUGUAAACUGCUUUUAUACAGGAAGAAACCGCUCUACGUGUAGAGCUCUGACGGUACUGUAAGAAUAAGGAUCGGCUAACUCCGUGCCAGCAGCCGCGGUAAUACGGAGGAUCCAAGCGUUAUCCGGAAUCAUUGGGUUUAAAGGGUCCGUAGGUGGAUAAUUAAGUCAGGGGUGAAAGUCUGCAGCUCAACUGUAGAAUUGCCUUUGAUACUGGUUAUCUUGAGUUAUUAUGAAGUAGUUAGAAUAUGUAGUGUAGCGGUGAAAUGCAUAGAUAUUACAUAGAACACCAAUUGCGAAGGCAGAUUACUAAUAAUAUACUGACACUGAUGGACGAAAGCGUGGGGAGCGAACAGGAUUAGAUACCCUGGUAGUCCACGCCGUAAACGAUGGUUACUAGCUGUUCGGACUUCGGUCUGAGUGGCUAAGCGAAAGUGAUAAGUAACCCACCUGGGGAGUACGUUCGCAAGAUGAAACUCAAAGGAAUUGACGGG